CAGUCGCCGCGGGAAUACCGAGGGUGCGAGCGUUAAUCGGAAUUACUGGGCGUAAAGGGCGCGUAGGCGGUUAGGAAGGUGUGAUGUGAAAGCCCUGGGCUUAACCUAGGAAGUGCAUCGCAAACCAACUAGCUGGAGUAUAAGAGAGGGUGGCGGAAUUUCCGGUGUAGCGGUGAAAUGCGUAGAGAUCGGAAGGAACGUCAAUGGCGAAGGCAGCCACCUGGCUUAAUACUGACGCUGAGGCGCGAAAGCGUGGGAGCGAACAGGAUUAGAUACCCGAGUAGUCCCUGUCUCUUAUACA
rnacentral:rRNA from 1 species